rnacentral:misc_RNA from 3 species
AACGCACCUUGCGCCCCUUGGUAUUCCGAGGGGCACACCCGUUUGAGUGUCGUGAAUACUCUCAACCUUCUUGGUUUCUUUGACCACGAAGGCUUGGACUUUGGAGGUUUUUCUUGCUGGCCUCUUUUGAAGCCAGCUCCUCCUAAAUGAAUGGGUGGGGUCCGCUUUGCUGAUCCUCGACGUGAUAAGCAUUUCUUCUACGUCUUAGUGUCAGCUCGGAACCCGCUUUCCAACCGUCUUUGCACAAAGACAAUGUUCGAGUUGUGACUCGACCUUACAAACCUUGACCUCAAAUCGGGUGAGACUACCCGCUGAACUUAA